rnacentral:rRNA from 1 species
AUUGAACGCUAGCGGGAUGCUUUACACAUGCAAGUCGAACGGCAGCGCGGACUUCGGUCUGGCGGCGCGUGUCGAACGGGUGAGUAAUGUAUCGGAACGUGCCCAGUAGCGGGGGAUAACUACGCGAAAGCGUAGCUAAUACCCCCUACGCCCUACGGGGGAAAGCAUGGGAUCGUAAGACCUUGCACUAUUGGAGCGGCCUAUAUCGGUUUAGCUAGUUGGUGAGGUAACGGCUCACCAAGGCGACGAUCCGGAGAUGGUUUGAGAGGACGACCAGCCACACUGGGACUGAGACACGGCCCAGACUACUACGGGAGGCAGCAGUAGGGAAUUUUGGACAAGGGAGGCAACCAUGAUCCAGCAAUCCAGCGGGUGCGAUGAAGGCCCUCGGGUUGUAAAGCACUUUUGGCAGGAAAGAAACGUCGCGGGCUAAUACCCCGAGGAACUGACGGUACCUGCAUAAUAAGCACCGGCUAACUACGUG